AUAAUGUUUGGGCUUAUUUCUGGAGCUUUGUUCUUUCUCCUUACUGGGAUUUUCUUCUUUUUAUAUGGCUGGGAUUUCUUGCAUGAAGCACUGCUCUAUCAUCUCACACGUACAGACCCUAGGCACAAUUUCUCAAUUUAUUUCUACCAUAUAUAUCUGCACUAUGAACACGAGUUAUCUAUCUUGGAAAAGCUCGUCUCGUUUCUGCCUCAGAUUAUGGUGCAGCUAGUUCUUGUUUUCCGCUUUGCACAAGAUUUUCCUUUUUGCUUCUUUGUGCAGACUGUGGCAUUUGUUGCAUUUAACAAGGUUAUGACUGCUCAAUACUUUGUUUGGUUCUUCUGUCUCUUGCCACUAAUCCUGCCAUGGACUAACAUGAAG
rnacentral:misc_RNA from 1 species